GAUGAACGCUGGCGGCGUGCCUAAAACAUGCAAGUAGAACGCUGAAGCUUGGUGCUUGCACCGAGCGGAUGAGUUGCGAACGGGUGAGUAACGCGUAGGUAACCUGCCUCUUAGCGGGGGAUAACUAUUGGAAACGAUAGCUAAUACCGCAUAAAAGUCGAUAUCGCAUGAUAUUGAUUUGAAAGGUGCAAAUGCAUCACUAAGAGAUGGACCUGCGUUGUAUUAGCUAGUUGGUGAGGUAACGGCUCACCAAGGCGACGAUACAUAGCCGACCUGAGAGGGUGAUCGGCCACACUGGGACUGAGACACGGCCCAGACUCCUACGGGAGGCAGCAGUAGGGAAUCUUCGGCGAUGGGGGCAACCCUGACCGAGCAACGCCGCGUGAGUGAAGAAGGUUUUCGGAUCGUAAAGCUCUGUUGUAAGAGAAGAACGAGUGUGAGAGUGGAAAGUUCACACUGUGACGGUAACUUACCAGAAAGGGACGGCUAACUACGUG
rnacentral:rRNA from 1 species